rnacentral:lncRNA from 1 species
UUAACUCUAAUAAGAGUGUUUUAUUCAAGCUUAUGGUUAAUCAUUGCUGAUUACCAUGAAAAUUGUACUCUGUACAUCUUGCAUGUAUAAGUUAAGUAUGAAAGGCUGAUCACCUUCAUUACCAGUUGGUUCAGAAAUGUUUGUUUAUGUUUAAAACUUGUUCAGUUAAAAGUUUGUUCGUGCUAGUUCUCAAUUAUAUUGAUGAAUUAUAGCCAGCUUAU